UACAGAGGUGGCAAGCGUUGUUCGGAAUUACUGGGCGUAAAGCGCACGUAGGCGGCUUGGUAUGUCGGGUGUGAAAUCCCCGGGCUCAACCUGGGAACUGCAUCCGAAACUGCCUUGCUCGAGUAUGGGAGAGGGAAGUGGAAUUUCCGGUGUGAGCGGUGAAAUGCGUAGAUAUCGGAAGGAACAUCAGUGGCGAAGGCGACUUCCUGGACCAAUACUGACGCUCAGGUGCGAAAGCGUGGGGAGCAAACAGG
rnacentral:rRNA from 1 species